GAUAAUUCGAUCCCCGAGCACUCUCAUGUUGACUCCUGUACUCCAGUUCAGUGAGAGGUGCAAGCAGAGUUGACGAGGGAGUGGCAGCAGUCGGCUCACUGUAGUGAAGACAUUGCGACAGUAGAUGACUUCAGGGAACUUGAAGGCAUAUUGAAGAAGAAGAAUGUCCAAGUGAUCUUUUCUGAGAAAUUUCCUGUCCCAUGAAUGAAGACAAGAAGGCAGAAGUAAACCGCUGGCUAGAUGGAUCUGUGAUAACCUGACAGCUCAAAUGGAAGGUCACCCAUGAGGACAAGCAGGGGGUUCUUUUCCAUCAUCUCUGAAUCCUGGAAGUGGCUUUUUUGACCACCCUCGGUAUCCAGGCUUUCAAUUAAAUCCUAUUUUUCCUGAUG